GACGAACGCUGGCGGCGCGCCUAACACAUGCAAGUCGAACGGAGUUGUGUUGAAAGCUUGCUGGAUAUACAACUUAGUGGCGGACGGGUGAGUAACACGUGAGUAACCUGCCUCUCAGAGUGGAAUAACGUUUGGAAACGAACGCUAAUACCGCAUAACGUGAGAAGAGGGCAUCCUCUUUUUACCAAAGAUUUAUCGCUGAGAGAUGGGCUCGCGGCCGAUUAGGUAGUUGGUGAGAUAACAGCUUACCAAGGCGAUGAUGCAUAGCCGAGUUGAGAGACUGAUCGGCCACAAUGGAACUGAGACACGGUCCAU
rnacentral:rRNA from 1 species